rnacentral:rRNA from 1 species
AUUGAACGCUGGCGGCAUGCCUUACACAUGCAAGUCGAACGGUAACAGGUCUUCGGAUGCUGACGAGUGGCGAACGGGUGAGUAAUACAUCGGAACGUGCCUAGUAGUGGGGGAUAACUACUCGAAAGAGUGGCUAAUACCGCAUGAGAUCUACGGAUGAAAGCAGGGGAUCGCGAGACCUUGUGCUACUAGAGCGGCCGAUGGCAGAUUAGGUAGUUGGUGGGAUAAAAGCUUACCAAGCCGACGAUCUGUAGCUGGUCUGAGAGGACGAUCAGCCACACUGGGACUGAGACACGGCCCAGACUCCUACGGGAGGCAGCAGUGGGGAAUUUUGGACAAUGGGCGCAAGCCUGAUCCAGCAAUGCCGCGUGCAGGAUGUAGGCCUUCGGGUUGUAAACUGCUUUUGUACGGAACGAAAAGCCCUGGGUUAAUACCCUGGGGUCAUGACGGUACCGUAAGAAUAAGCACCGGCUAACUACGUGCCAGCAGCCGCAGUAACAC